rnacentral:lncRNA from 1 species
UUUUUAGGCAUUAAAUAAUUUAAUUUUUAACAUGUGGUAUUUGACAUAAUUAAGAAUGAUAAAUAAAGUUUUAAAAAAAUUUAAAGGAGCAAAAAUUUGAAUAAAUAAAUAGAUAAAAAAAUUUAUGAAUAAAUAAAUAAAUAAAUAAAUAAAUAAAUAAAUAAAUAAAUAAAUAGAAUAAAAGAAUAUAAAAAUAAAUAUAAUAAAAUAAUAUAGAAAUAAUGUUGUUUAAAUAAAAAAUAAAAAUAAAUAAAUAAUAAAUAAUUAAUUAACACAGUGCCACCAGAAGUAGGAACAGGAGGAAAACUUGGCCAAGCAAACAGUAGUGAACGGCAGCAACGUUGUCCUGGUACACCAGCAGCCAAGUAAAGAGCGAAUAAUUUUGAUAUGCCAAAUUGUGUAUGUGAAUUUAUAUGCCGAAUAUUUUGUAUAAACCGAAAUAAGCCUAAAUUUGUGUAUGUGAGUUUUGCAAAAAUAAUUUGUGAGAUAUAUUGUAUGUACUAAAAAAAGAGAGGUAAAAUAAAAUAAAAUAAAGUAAAGUAAAGUAAAGUAAAGUAAAGUAAAGUAAAGUAAAGUAAAGUAAAGUAAAUAUGAAACCAUAGGGUGUAUGUAAAUUUUGACUGCUUUGUGCUAGCCUACCGUAGUUGCAGGACUUUAUAGUGCUAGUACACUGGAACGCUAUCCGCAGGAAGACAGCGCCCCACGCUAUUUAAAACUGGUUUAGCGCAAACCUGCAUUCAACCUCAUCAACA